CUGCCCCCCAGGACAACAGCCUCUUGCUCAGAGAGAGAAGCCUCCCCCUCAGAAUCAUGUUUCGGCCUCUUCGUUUUGAAAUAUCCUUCAGAUGCUGUCGCUUCGGUCCCUUGCGGUCCCCAGCUGCCAGGUGAUUGUGUGCCGUGGAGGCUGCUGGGAGGCUCUGCGGAGCUGGUGACGACAUAGAGAACACGGCUGUGACAUUUGGAGCCACACACCGAGAGACCCUCUCCGCAGCAUCAACCACGGGGAUGGCUAUGCCAACUGGAGCAGGGAAUGGUGAGGGUGCCAGGAAGAAGCAUGGACGCCGGACGGUAAAACACGGAACACGGAGAGCAAACAGAGAAGAAAGUGGACGCUGCCCUUUGAUUUACACAUUUGACUUGACCAUGUGAGAUGACGCAACCAGCCUCACUCCUGCGCUUGAUGGUUUUCCCAUACGCAUCAUGCUAUUUUUCACCUCUGUCUGCCCGUGGAGUGACGGUACAAAUUCCGAAUUGCAAUGGAGAAAAGCAGUGUACUUAAUUCUUCAAAUCUUACCCUGUUGCCCUAAUGGCUCCAUCGUCAUGUGGGAAACAUCCCCUGCCUCCCUCCCAGACAGUUUCCCUGGUGCCCGGGCUGAGUUAUAGUAACAAUCUGGACCGGCUGUUGUGUUUGUACACAAUGCCAGGUGCUGGGCUAAGAUUAUCACAUUCAUCCUCACAACCUUCCUAUAAUAGAGGUAUUGUUAAUUUCACCUUACAGAGGAAGGACCGGCACACAGAUACUAAGUGAGGUAGAAAUAAUAAAUGAUCUCUGCUCAGAGAUUUAAACGUAGAUGUAUCAGACCCAAGCCAGACCCACAGCACCUGGCUAAAUUGUUUCCUCACUGAGUUGUACCCUAUUUUUAUAUGAGUGGUCAUUACUACAUUGUGAGUGUCUUGGGACCAGGGCAUCUGCUGUGUUUACUCUUAACUCCAGUACCUAGCAGAGUGACUAUCCCACAAUAAAUGCCUAAUAAAUGUAUGCUAAGCUAAUGAAGCAGCAUAAAUCGGUGAUGAUGAUGAGAGGAGACUAAGUUUCACAGCCCUGGAUGGAAACAGGACAGUCUGAGACCACACAAUGAUGCAGAAAUCUCCUCUGCAGUUCUACAAAAGCUACAAAAACACAGGGGCAUGACUGAAAAGGCCCGUUAAUGAGGCAGACAAUCAUGUAGAGGUUAGAAGAGGAUGACAAUGGAGGGCUGGAAAAUAAAGGUUAUUCAAGAUGGACAAACUUCUGAAGUGUGAACAAGAUCAAGUGUAAAAAUAAUGGGAGGAGAAAGGCACCAAAGUCUAGAGAACAGACUGAAACACCUGGCAUAUUGUAAGGGCCACAGAUUCAUCAAUGAGCCUGAAGCAGAGGUUUGGUGGAAGGAAGAGUGAGGAAAGGAAGAUAAAAAUAAGUGCUGGUGCCAUGUUGUAAAUGGUCCUAAAUCUGUUGACGUUAAACCUGAUGAUCAGAGGGGAUCAAGUGGACUGCAGCACGUUGGAUAGACUGAAUUAAGA